CCGCGGGUCUGCACAGAGCACGCGCAAACGAAGCACGGCGCAUGCUCCGCAGCGCGGCGGGUCCACAGAUGAGGGGAAUCGAGACUCCCGCGCCCCACCAUCCCCAUCGGAGCUGCUGCUGAGCCCCUGAGCCCUGGCUACCAAUAAAGUUCGUUUAAAAAUCAUAAUCAUUCUUAAGAGAGCGAAAGAGGGUGCGAACUAGCCGCGCGGCCCCGCAGGGAGAACUGGCGCGUCGGGAGGAGGCAGCGGCGGCAGCGGUUGCGCCGCGACCAGGAGGAGCUGGUGGCGCCAGGCGGCGGGUCCGCGGCGGGCGGGGGACGGAAGUUUUUCAGUAUUUUUACAAAUAUAACUGUACUUCUACUUCAAUAAAGGCCGUUGUGAGAAAACAACCUUUUGAUUGAUUUGAGAGAGAAGAUCUGAUCUCCUGGAAUUAGAGUUGGUACAGAAACCAUUUCAGCUCCAAAAAUGUUGGAGGAAGAUAUGGAAGUCGCCAUAAAGAUGGUGGUUGUAGGGAAUGGAGCAGUUGGAAAAUCAAGUAUGAUUCAGCGAUAUUGCAAAGGCAUUUUUACAAAAGACUACAAGAAAACCAUUGGAGUUGAUUUUUUGGAGCGACAAAUUCAAGUUAAUGAUGAAGAUGUCAGACUAAUGUUAUGGGACACUGCAGGUCAAGAGGAAUUUGAUGCAAUUACAAAGGCCUACUAUCGAGGUAAAACACAGGAUUUAUUUACUUAUUUUGUUUGGGCACAUUAUUUUGGCUAAAUAACUAAUUUUGCUUUCUUUGUUUCCCAUAUAAGCGUUUCUCUUGAAGAAUAGUUAAAAUAAUUUCGAAGUAUUUUUUAAAACCCCAGUUCGUUAUUCUUCUAAAGAUCUUGCAUGUUAGCAAAUAACACCUGUACUGUAGACAGUUUAUCUCUGCCUUAGAACUAUGUGACUCAUGUAGGCUUUCCCAGGCCAAAUCAGUAAGAAGCUCUUAAAUGCCUACUUUGACCCCAAGAAAAUGACUGUAUAGUCAGAGAGUGGAAGCUAACAUAUGAGAAAGUAAAGCCCUGGCAAAUAAGAUGGCAUUUGUUAUGACACAUGAAGUCGCAUGGUAAAGCCUUUUCAGUGCUGUAGGAGUUCAGAGAAGUAUGAGACACCUGUGAAAGGAAGGAACCAUGACUAAAGAAUUUAAGGCUCUAAAAUGUGGGCUAAAAUUUUUUAAGAGGCUAAAUUAAACUUCCGAAUGGAACUUAAAAGUUUCCUUUAACAUCUUCUUACAAAAUUUUGCCCUUUUCUUUUGGAAUUUAAAACACCACUUUCAGUGUUCCUGUAACUCAGCUGCCAAUAGUGAUUAAAGUGAGAAAACACAAUAACAAAAGCUUGGUGGAAUACCAUGUAGCAUUAUAGCCUGCUGAUGCCAAGUAAAUAUUAAUUGAUCAUUCAUAUUGACAAGCAUUUAAUACUCUGCAUUUCACAGAUGCUGUGGGAAAUAAAAAGGCACAGCUGACAUACUGAUUAUUCCUUCUAUGACGUCCCUCUUUUCUGAACUUUUCACCAUGUCAUAAUUAAAACUUGUUUCCUAAAGAUACAACUUCCUCUGCUGGCUUCUCUAAGGGAGGCUUUUUACCCAUAUCCCUGUAUACUCACAUUGUUCAAGACUUAAAGGAUGUUGGGCAAAGGAUGUCUUGUUUCUUACGACUGCUUCCAAACCAUUCCUCCUCUUUUCUCCUUCAAAAACUUCAGCACCUUGAAAGUCCAGGUCAUGAGACUUUUACCCACCACUAAUCCCCCUGCUUGCAAUGGUCCAUCACCUUCCUUUAUCCCUCCUUUGUGAUAACACUGGCAUCUGGCUCAGUUUCUUCUCCACAAUUGUUUGGGUUGCUUUUUGAAAAUUCAGCCUAUUGCUCAUUUCCUUGUUGUUUUCAAGGCCAACAAUUGUUUCAUUACCCCAAAAUCUAAACCUCUGUAGUCUCCCACUCUGACCACUACUGCCUAUGCUUGUGGCUUG